ensembl:lncRNA
CUGUGGAUUAAGAAUAAGGUCAUCUUUACAGGGGCAUCCCUAACCCUUUGUAACCGAUGGCAGGGAUGACAGAUCUGGUGAUGAUAAAACCUGCCUUGCAUCCUUUAAGAGGUAAGAAGUUGCUGUCUUACGAAGCAGAACAACUUGACUGUUCUUUCUGAAACCACAACGGGAGGCAGCAGGGAGAAGGACACUCAGACCUUCCCAUGAAAAGAGAAAGAGGCCAGCUGAGACAUGGUCAGUGAAUGAAAGCAGUUUAUUUGACAUUAAUUGCAGAAUUUACAGCACUACCAUUUAAUGAUAGGAAUAAAAAUAGAAAGAAUCCAGUGUAAGUAAUGUUGCAGACAAAACACCAGGGUGGGAAAUGAGCAGAACUGAAAAUGCAAUUAACAUUCAAUCAAAUCUUCCAAAGGACUGGGAGCUUAUCAAGGGGUGAGCAGCCCCGAGCGUGGUGUGCUUCUCGUCCUCACCAGCAUUUCAGGGCAGCCACCAAACAUCCACCCUGUUGACCAUCCCUGGAAAAUCUUUCAGCACCGUCGGCCUUAACAGGUCCGAGAUGGGGCAAAAUCUGGAUGAUAGUAUGCUUUGUCAGUAUAGCUGAGGGUUAAAAGGAAAUAAUGUGAAUUAACUAGUGUGUGUGAUUUUUUUUUCAAAACAGAAAGGAAUGCAGAUUUUAGGAGUGUGUUUUCCUGAUUUUAGGUAGGAGAGGUGAGGUCUCCUACCUAAAAUAAAAGAGGUCACUUUUACUUUGACCAGAAGUAAAAGUUUAAAGUUUUCCUCCAUGAUUUUCUUGGAGAUAAUAGCUGUAAAAGCAAGGAACCCGAGCAAGAGGUAUGUAUGUGACUCUCUGAUCCCUUCUCUUAGAAUCUGGGUGGAGACCUAGCAAAGGUACCUGGAUUUCUAAAGGGCUGGGUUUCUGGAAAAGCUGACCAAGAAGGCCCAUGACUAAGCAUGGGCUCUGAUGGUAAAGCCAUUUGUCUGUGACUUAAUGAGUCUUUUCUUCCCCUUUUAAAACUUUAAAUAGAGCUGGGACAAAUUCUUCUCUCUGUCCUUCCCCUUCCUUCUCUCAUUUUAGUCACUUUCAAAAUCAUACAGCAACCAACAGCUUGGAAAGAAGGAUUCAAGACCCACAGGCCAGCCUGUGAAAUUAAAAGACAUUUUUAAUAUCCAAAUUUAACACCUCUGAGGUCAUCAGGGCCCAAAGGGAGAAAAGAGCCCUAACUGAUUUGAUCCCGAGAAGAAAAACCGAUGGAAGACAUUGGAACUUGUUCUCACUCACUUCGGUGGAAGGACAGUUUCUCUAGUAAGAAGUCAUCGACCAAGUAAGAAUCUUCAGCACCUGUGCCAGUAAAAUAUUAAUUUGGGUAGAAAUAUUAGAAUAAGAAGGGUGAAAAAAAAGGCCAGGCUUUUUCUUUGCAGUCCGGGGAAACACCUUCUUGAAGAAAAGCAAAGGAUGAAGAAGGAAACUAAUGGGGAUGCUGGUCAAUUCCAAACCAUCUUUACGAAGUUCUUUGGCAUCUGAGACCAGAGGAGACUCAAUGGCUCUCGGACUGAGUGAGUGAAAAUAAGAGUUGGUGAUUGGAGGUGUGGGUUGGAAGAGGAGCCAACACCAAGAUUAAGUCUGUAUCCUCUCAGUUCCUGCCUGCCAAAUGCAGACGUUCUUUAUCAUUUUCUCAGUGGGAAGGUUAUCUUCUUGUUUCUGGAAUUCCAAUUUGCCAGGUAUCUUAUAAUCUCUUGUGGGUUUUCCAAGUGGCACCAGUGGUAAAGAACCUGCCUGCCAACGCAGGAGAUGUAAGAGACGUGGGUUCGAUCCCUGGGUGGGGAAGAUCCCCUGGAGAAGGAAAUGGCAACCCACUCCAGUGUUCUUGCCUGGAGAACCUCAUGGACUGAGAAACCUGGUGGGCUACAGUCCAUAGGGUCACCAAGAGUAGGACACGACUGAAGUGAAUUAACAUGUACAUUAUAACCGUUCACGGUAUGAAGUUUGCUGGCCCCAUUUAGACUUGUGUAACACAAAAAGACAUAGUAAAGAAGGGAAAUAAUAUUCUAGCUUCAAGGAAGUAUCUGAUAAUGGUAUGACUACCUGUUCAACAGCUGGAUGGUCUUUGAAGAGUUAACUCUGAUGUCCAGGUAGCAGGUUUCCUGUCAUAAUCUGAAAAAAUUUUUGCUACAUAAUAAUCAGAUUCUUUAGCUAAAUGCCAAAUUGGAUCAAAGCAAGGGAGAUGAAAGCUUCCCAGGUGGCACCAGUGGUAAAGAAUCCGCCUGCCAAGGCAGGAGACUUAAGAGAUGUGGGUUUGAUCCCUGGGCUGGGAAGAUCCCCUGGAGGAAGGCAUGGCAACCCACUCCAGUAUCCUUGCCUGGAGAAUCCCAUGGACAGGGAAGCCUGGCGGGCUAUAGUCCACAGGGUCGCACAGAGUUGGAUGCAAGUGAAGCGACUUAGCACGCAUUGCACGCACGCGUGCAAGGGAGACGGGGGAAGCCCCCACAUUGUAUAGACUUUUGAAGAGGACUUUCAAACAGAGAUUAAAGUAGGCAUCAAUGGGCCAUGUUUUUGGUUGGCUCCAUAGCUGUGGUUCAGCCUGUCCUCUAAGAAAAACCAGUAACACGGGCAACGUGCAUGGUCCCCCGAGAGAGGGGCCAGGCAGAGAGGCACCGACAUCUCCUUUCCCCUCGUCUAUUUUCCAGAUCAAAGAACUGGGGAUAGCCAAAAUAUAAACUGGAAACAAAACAACAGGAAAACCCAUUCAUACCUCUCUUUGUUCUCCAAAUAAUUGUUUGUAAAAUCUACAGAUGGAUUCACUAAACCAGGGUGCAGAGGAAGGGUGACGUGGGGGGCUCUGACUUAAAUGAGCCCCACUGCAGUGUGGGACCCGGACCCCUGCAGCACAGUGAGGGCGCAGGUCAAGCCAACCAGAUGGGCCACCCACAACCCUGGCUGGCGGAGCCCCGCCUGAGGACAGGUGAGUGUCCGGUGGGCGACCGAGGAUUCAGGAUGGCUAUUUUGACGUCCUGGCCUUUCCUGUAAGAACUGGGGUCUGCCUUCAUGCCGGCAUGUGCUUAAGGCCAAGGGAUGUCAGAGAACUGUUGGGGUCCAGAGAGUGAGGUUAGAAAGUUUGGACCCAGCUCUCUUCAAAGCUGAUAGUUAUGCAGAUCUUGAGGAAAUGGCAACCCACUCCAGUGCGCUGGCCUGGAGAAUUCCAUGGACAGAGGAGCCUGGCGGGCUGCAGUCCACAGGGUUGCAAAGAGGUGGACACGACUGAGCAACGAACACUCUCACAUUCACGUGCCCUAGAGCCAAACUCUACCUUCCAGCCCAUGACCUUCCUUUCCCAGGCCAGGCCCACAUGUCCCCAAGAGAGCAGGAGGGAAACCCAGGCCCAGGUGAGGCACUUCCAUAGUUCUGUGUCUCCAAGGAAAAGGACAUCCACUGGCACAAGCAUUGAGUAAAAACCCUUUAAUAACAAAAUAACAUUCACGAUGUAGCUACUUCAGUUGUCUGGAAAACUCAGCUUACACUUGAUUCAACAUAUCACUUUCCACAAAGUUUUUUUUUUUUAAAAAAAAGGACAUAAAAUGGCAUAACAAAAUAUACCUCGAGUUUCAUAAGACAAGUCUUCUUGGCAAAUGCUAGUUAAUAAGCCAGACCCAUGCGUCUCUCAUAAUAAAAACUGUUGGGCACACUCAUGUCUCAGACACUCCUCUGUUUACUUCGGAUUAAAAUACAUUUGAAUUUCGUAGAUUCUACAAUACCUGCUUCGAAAGGAUUCGUGUGUAGGUUUGUGAGGGUGAGGAGAACUUGACUGAAACAUCCAUUUGGUUUUACGGCGGAAGAACAUAGAAAGCUUUCUGGAAGAUUAAACACGAUUACAAUCAUAAAUGGUCAACAAAAAUCGACUUAAAAUUCUUGUAUCCAUUCCUGUCUUUGGCAGAUUAAUAAGGGAAGAAAUCAAGACUAUCUAUUACAAAGCUUUCAUUAUCACGAUCUACUUUAUAAGGCCAAAUAAAAUGUUUCUUGGCAUUAUUAAUGAAAGCGCAUUUUCAGUAUAUUCUCAUGGAUGGUCAUAUCAAUGUGCUACCGUGGGGUGAUUUCCAACAUUUUGCAGAGCGGGCUGCGGCCUUCCCACUGCUGUUUCCUAAGCUGCACUCCUAUGCAAAACAAAGUGUGCUUGGCAACUGAUUUGGUUUUAUGUCAAGCAUGUUGACUGGGGGAAUAGGUAUGAAACUUGAGAAUGGGCCUCGGGACCCAAAAUAAGAAAGAACGAGUUUGCCCAAUCCACUGCAAGUGAAAAUACUUUUUGAGAAAUAUAGGGGCCUCAGAUAAUUAGGGAGUUUAUACAAAGAAGGUUUUACUAAACUAGGUUUCAAAACUUCUUAUACCCGCUUUAGGAUAGAUGCAACAUUGUUGGGCAGAAAAGAGUAAGCUAGAACCAUCUCUCACUCUAGGGAGGAAAAUCCAUGAUAUGGGUGCACAGGUGAAGCUUUUAGGAAUGGCCAUCUAUCUUUGCCCCCCAAAAACUGGAACAGCUGGUGGCGUUGUCCAGGAAAAGGGACAGAGAACCCAGAGAACAAUGAAUGAUACUGACGCCAUCUGAACUGCCCUGACAGAAUACUCCAGUCUUCUUCUAGGAAAUCGAGCACGAAGUGGCCAUCCCCAAGCAAAGACCCAGGAGAGGCGAGUCCUGGGUCGAUCUGCAUCUCCAUACAGGUGGCCAGUUAUGUCUGAGGUCAGGAGCAGAAAGUCAAAAGGACUCUCUUGUGGGAACUUAAGAUGCAGAGCUGUUUUUCAGUGCUCGUUUCCAAGCUCCUCUCGCAUGGCGUGAGAUAAUGGGUUAUGAGAAUCUGGGGGAUGCGAGGUGGCGAGCUCAGACUCGGAACGACCCUUCUCCUCGCACGUGAACUCGAUUGAGUCUGACUCGGUUUGAAAUCCCAACAGAGGUCAAGGUAUUUUCGAGGUGAGACAGCUCCCAAUAAAACCAAUAUUACCACUGUCUGAGGCUGAACUGUGUACAUUUUCACAGUUUAAUGUAUACACAACCGUUCCACAACCACUAAUGAACAAUUUGGCGCCCAUGCAUACAUCAAGUCCAUGAACCAAAGGGGAAGAUCUAGUUCAAAAUGAAAACCGUUGCUAUUUAAGACCACAAUGCAUCACACUGCUAAAUUUUUAGCCUCAUGCAUAAAAUUAUAGCACUGAUUGGCAGUUGCUAAUUAUAAUACUACACUGUUAACACAGAACAAUUAAUUGUUCAGACCAAGUAGCACAAAUGUAGAAAAUAAUAAAUUUUUUUUUUCAACAGAGCAAAUGAACACAGAUUGUUUCUUCAGCAAAAUAUGAAACUGUAAACUUUGGGCUCAUUCUGCAACUUUCCCCAAUCCAGAAUAAAUAAAAUUCAAAGGGGGGGGGGUGAAAACCAUACAUUUUUUUUUAAGCUCACCUUUUCAUCUAUUACAAAAGCACAACCUAAAACGUAUAAAGCUUUUUUUUUUUUCUUUUUUCUUUUUUUAAAUCACAGUUACCAAAAGAAACAGUGAAUAAUUUAUUACAUACGCUAUAAUAACAUUACUCUAAACACUAUUAUCUAUGAGGUAUAUCUGAGAAAAUUCGGUAAGGAAUUGCGCGGUCUGCAUUGCCAACAUGCCCAGGUUCAUAUUAAAGCUUUGGAACCGUGAAGAACUAGAAAAGGGAGAAGAACAGGGGAGGCAGAGGAGAGACAGAGAAAGAACCUUUGGUAUUAGUACAAAUCUCGUUGUUUGCAGGGUUGCAUUGCAAAGCACCACAGUACAAUAAGCCCACCAAUUUACUGUAUGGAGGCCCAGUGGAAGCUGAGGUAUUCACAGGAAGGAUUAAAAAAAAGCACAGAGAAGUCCAGACUGGCUAAAUCGUUGCUUUGGUUCAAGCAAGGCACUCGUCCCGUGGUUACAUCACACUUUGCAAGUGAAGCAUGAGGCUGAGGGGGGAAUUGCUGAGGAAGGGUCUGCCAACCGGGGCUGUUUUCUGUGUUCAGGCUGCCAUCCGUCUCCCUGCACUCCCUCUUCUAGGGGCUUGGUGGUCAGAAGGCUGGGGAAGGCGGUGUUGGCUUACAGAGUACUUCGCUGCUCAACCACCAGAUCGUCUUGGUCUGGGAGAACACCUGUCUCCCGGGUAUUCGGAGAAUGCUACUUCAAUAGGAAUUUGGGAAGAAAACCAAAGCAAUUUGCUAUCUGAAAGUCAGGCCUUACACCUUUGCCUGGUAUGGGGGGACAGAUGGUGCUUGGAGCCUGUUUGGACCGGAAAGAAGAUUCACAUGGGUCAGUACACUGUUUGGAAACUACAGGAAGGGAUAACUGAGUGUUAUCUUCAAAUCUGUCAGUCUAGCUUCUAAUUUCCUCUACUAGCUAUACUCACAUCCAUGCGUGGAUUGGAGGAAUUGACUGGUCUUUUCCCUCCUUAGCUUCUUUGUGUAAAUGGUCAUUUAAAAAGCUGAAAGAGAACUACGUUAGUUGAAAUGCAAAAUACUAGUAUCCAAUAAACAACCAGACUGGAGGCAGGAGGUUCAACAGUGAUCUCAAUGGAACAGCGUGUACUUCCAGGGCAAAAACCCCCCUGUGAGCUCUAAUAGAUCAAGGCUAACCACAUUUACAAGCAACUGAUCUCAUGUGACUUUAUGUUGAGAUUCUAGCUAGACAGAUACCAAAAUACCUGUUCCUAUUUCUACCGGGUAAAAAUGUCCAUGACAAGCUCCAAGCCCUCCUCCUUUUUCCAACGUGUGGCCCGUCUCAGGCAGAGGCGCUCGAGGCGUGAACACAGUAGUGACCCAGAGGCUUGACUGGGCUUUGCCUCUGGGUCAGUUACUUGCGUCGGGUAACUAUUUCACUCCUCUGGGCCUCCAGGGGCUGGACUAAAAACUUCUUAAGGUCCCUUCCAGCUCUACCGUCCAAUGAUUAGGAUUCUUAUUAUUGGAAAUCUCAACUGUGGCAGCUCCAAAGCAGGGCACAGAGGUCGUGGCUGGGACCGAAGGCCACUUUCAACCAGGCUUCUUCAUCAAUCUGGAAUUUCAGGACCCAGUGACGGCAACAUCUGAACACGCAUCCUGAACACGUGGGCGGGACAGCGAAUGCAUGAAGAAAAACACAGAAAACAUCCCUUUCCCGAUCAGCAGCCACUGUCGCAUAGAUUAACUAUUUCUUUGGGGUAUCUGAGCUGUGGCCAUACAUGCCAUACGUCAGAGAGAAGAGUUAAAAUUAUAAAAGAGCACAAGCAGAAUGCAGACCGCACAGAGAAAGAAAUCUUUGGUAUCUUUGGUGUCAUCAACACGAUUAAAAUUACAAAUGGAAAAAGUCAGUGAGGUAGCCUUCUUUGGUUCUCACUAGAAAUAGAAAGUUUUUCCUUUUUUUUUUUUUCUUUUUUCUGCUUUUUUUUUUUUCCUUUUUUGUUUGUUGUUUUACACACACACAGACUUCAUUCUUGGAAGCAGCUAGUGUAAGGGUUUCUUUUUGCUGUUCUGAUUUUUUUUUUUAAUUUAUUAUUCCAGUUUCUGUACAGAAGCCCCGAAAUCCAGGCUGGUGAAGCAGGGUCUCAGCAUGCGUUUUCUGAAUGCACAGGUUCGGGUUGAAUAGUCAUUGCUUGUCCACAAACUUUGCUCUGUUGUCCGUCUGACAGCAAACAAACUGCAGUGCUUUCUGUUGUUUUAAAUAAAAAAUAUAAACUACAUCGUGCACCUUUUGCAGAUGCUGAAUAAGUUAAAUAAAUAAGUUACAAUAUGAAGGCUCUGAGGGCCCCAAUAAUUAAAAGGUGAAGUUCGCUUGGUACCAGGUGGGGCUGCGAACUUAAAUAAUUUAAUCACUGUUACUUAAACUAUUUUCAAAGUUAAUUCAAGAAAGAAAAAUACCUCAAUUGUUUUUUUUGUAACCUGUAUUUCUUCCCUGUCUGUAACAGAAUUUCUCUGCUUUAUAAAGCAGACCUUCAAGGGGAUUCUAAAAGGGAUUGCGCAUCUCUGAUGCACCGUUGGUUUAGGUUCUGAUAAAUAAGCACAAAGAGUAAAAUCAGAGUAAGGAAAGAUUAAGUAAUUAUCAAAAUCCUAUACAUUCAGUGUGCUAAAAACUAAUUUAAAUAAAUUAAUUACAUUAAUGGUACUUAGCUUGUUGGGUUAUAACCCAAAGAGAUAACGGGAAAAAAAAAAGGUUUCUUUGUCUUCAUUUUUCAAUGGACAAAACGUAUAGCCUCGUUCCACAGUCUAAAUGAAAAUAAAGCAGAAAAUUAUAACCUCUGAACUUUCUCACAUUCAAAAAGACCAUUUAAAUGUGACAAGCAUGAAAAAAAAAUCACCAUGUCCCUCCCUCUAGCUGACACAGCCCCCCCACGACCACAUCACCAUUUUCUCAACCCUGGAAACCAGAGCCCACUUUUUUCUUUAUUAGUUCGUACUUUGCUACUUUUUCCUUCCUUUUCCUUUUUUUUGGGGGUGUGUGUUCUUUUUUCAGGUCUUUGGAUUUAGCUUUAGUUAAUGAAAGAUCCAGAAUAAAGCUAUUCAACCGAAGUCAUCAAGCACGUGUGUCAUUCUUACACAGAUGAUUAAAUAAAAUGCAAGGUUUCUUGAAAGCUGAGUUUACCUUGGAUGUGACCAAAUGAGUGGAAUUCCAAGUGUAGGGAAUGAAGAUGCUGGAAUGUUCCCCCCCCACCCCGCAUUUUGGUUUUCAAUGUUACAAUAAAUAAUAAAAACAGUGUACACUGUAGAAGUACCACAUAUAUGUCAAACGACCAUUGAAAACGUAUUUAUUGUGACAGGGACAGUAUGUCUGGAUGUACGGAGGUGUCUGUGCAGUGUGGACACUCACAGGCCAUGGGUGUUGCUAUAAGAUGCCUUUGAGAAUACAUGGUGAAAGAGGCGUCUAAAUCUGUAUACACUCAAGCUGAAGACGGUACAAGGAUUAGGCAAAUGUGUCUACCAAGGUUUAUGCGGUGGGAAAUAUCUCUGCUAAGGCUGGAGCAGAGUAGAAGACUUCUGUGGAAUGAACAGAUCUGUAGCCAUGUGUGUUUUUCCUCCAUUAAAAGGGAAUGAACUGGUUAAUUCCAGGCAACUAAACUCAACACCAGUAAGGAAAGCUUAGGCUCCAGCUUUCACUUGCCUCUGGCUGUCAGAGCCUUUUUGGUAUCUGAGAACAGGAAGACUUCCGGUCCCCGUGGGGUUCACGGAACAGCCCAUCAGCCUCAACUGUAAGUUCAGGGCCUACCUAAGGGAGGCUCUAUGUCAUUUUAAUACAUUAAAAAAUUUUUAUAACCAAUUCUGAGACUUUCUAAAACAAAUAAACCAACCCUCCCUCCCCUUGGCCCUUGGAAAGAAAAAAAAAAUCAUAGGUAGAAAAUAGGCAUUGGGACAGCCAUAUUUAAAGCCAACAUCAUUAACUAGGUAAGAUUUAUACAGUGAACUCGGUACACUUGCUUCUUUUAGUAAGGAUUUUGUGGCCUUAUUUGAAAACUAGAAUCUGCUGUUGCUGUAGAGGCGACUUGGUCUUUGCUAAAUGUAUAAAAGCUCUCCAAUCUUACAAGUAAACAUCAGAACGUUAUAGGCAAACCAACUGUAUCCCUUUUCUGUCUACCACGUUUCACUUGCUCUUACUGUAGGCUAACUAGUCUGAACCAAAAGGCAUUGGCAGCAGCAACAACAAAAAAUCAGCUCUGAUUGGUUAGGAAUCGUGACAGUUACUGUCACAGUACUUGGGUUUGGGCUUUGGGGUCAACCUUGCUUGACCACAUGGAUCAUCUUUUUCUCUACUUUUUAAUAUACUCCAUUAUUCUUCAAUAAGACUGGAACCCAGCCUGCUCUUUUUCUAUUUUUAAGAAAUUCCUACUUCUACUAUACAGCCUCCUGAAAAUCAGAGUUCACCACAAAGGUAUAUUGUCACGAUGCUUCAGGAACAGCAAUCAAUGGACAUGUCUAUAAUUCUACCAGCACUUUCAAAACUGGGAAAGCAUUCCCCUGCACCCAGGUGGCAGUCAUAUCUUUCAAAAAGCCGUUUAACUUUAAUAUAUCAGCAUGAAUAGGUGGACACCCAGCAUAAAGAAAAAUGGCUGACCAUCUAAAAGGCAUUUAUGUUUGGCUCUGAAAUACAUUGUCUGACUUAACAAAAAUGUGCGUGUGUGUGUAUCAGAUUUACUCCUAAUUUUGAUUUUAUUUUAGCUAGAGAUGAAAAUAAGCUUGAAUUUCCAGAGCCCUCAGGAAAAGAGACCCUGCAGAGGUGAUUUCUCCCAAGUGUCAGGGCACCUGCCUUAUUCCCACCUGUACUGCUAAGUGUUA